rnacentral:misc_RNA from 1 species
AAGAAAUUGACCUUUGUAUAAUUUCAGCCUCCGGCUCAGAACUUUGCUGUUGAAUAUUUUCAGAAGUUGCUAUAUCUAAUACCUGUGUAUCUAGGACUAGAUUUUCUUGAAGUGCCUCCAAACUCUCAUCAAAAUCAUACUUCUGAAUACUCAGGUCCAACUGUUCAUUCUUAACACUGCUACUUGAGAAAGGUGAACUAAGAACCACCUGCCCUUGUGGAAAAUUGUUACUCUCUUCAUCAGAUAUGACCCAAAGCUUUUCAUUGGGAGAAUCAUCUUCUAUGGAAGCACUUGGAUUCAUCUGUAACGGAGAGUAAAAGAUUUCUUUAGACUCUACUUCAGCAGUUCUCAUCUUAUCACUCAAAGCAACAGGCAAUAAGUUGCGGCCAAU